rnacentral:rRNA from 1 species
UACGUAGGGGGUAAGCGUUAUCCGGAUUUACUGGGUGUAAAGGGAGCGUAGACGGCCAGACAAGUCUGAAGUGAAAAUCCAGCGCUUAACGUUGGAAGUGCUUUGGAAACUGCCGGGCUAGAGUGCAGGAGGGGCAGGCGGAAUUCCUAGUGUAGCGGUGAAAUGCGUAGAUAUUAGGAGGAACACCAGUGGCGAAGGCGGCCUGCUGGACUGCAACUGACGUUGAGGCUCGAAAGCGUGGGGAGCAAACAGG